rnacentral:siRNA from 1 species
UAAAGAAUGAUGUCCUACAAGUA